rnacentral:rRNA from 1 species
UACGUAGGGGGCAAGCGUUGUCCGGAUUUAUUGGGCGUAAAGAGCGUGUAGGCGGCCAGAUAGGUCAGCUGUGAAAACUGGAGGCUUAACCUCCAGACGUCGAUGGAAACCGUCUGGCUAGAGUCCGGAAGAGGAGAGUGGAAUUCCUGGUGUAGCGGUGAAAUGCGCAGAUAUCAGGAAGAACACCCGUGGCUAAGGCGGCUCUCUAGUACGGUACUGACGCUGAGACGCGAAAGCGUGGGGAGCGAACAGG